AAGUCGUAACAAGGUUUCCGUAGGUGAACCUGCGGAAGGAUCAUUAUUGAAUUCACUAGCGAGGCUGUUGCUGGCUCCCUCGGGAGCAUGUGCACGCUUAGCAAGUCAAUUUCAACCACCUGUGAACCUUUUGUAGUCCUUGGGUGACGCUACUUUCAAAGGAAACUUUGGAUUUGAGUGCUGCAGGCCAUUUCAAAUGGUCGGCUUCAUUCUAACAGCAGAGCCCAGGUCUCUAUGCCUUUAUUACACCCUGUAUGUCGUUGAAUGUGAUUGAAGGGCAUUUCAUUGCCUUUAAAAUCUUAUACAACUUUCAGCAACGGAUCUCUUGGCUCUC
rnacentral:misc_RNA from 1 species